rnacentral:rRNA from 1 species
UUAAAUUGAAGAGUUUGAUCAUGGCUCAGAUUGAACGCUGGCGGCAGGCCUAACACAUGCAAGUCGAACGGUAGCACAUGCA